rnacentral:rRNA from 1 species
CAUCAGCCGCGGUAAUACGUAGGGGGCGAGCGUUGUCCGGAAUUAUUGGGCGUAAAGCGCGCGCAGGCGGUCCCUUAAGUCUGAUGUGAAAGCCCACGGCUCAACCGUGGAGGGUCAUUGGAAACUGGGGGACUUGAGUGCAGAAGAGGAGAGCGGAAUUCCACGUGUAGCGGUGAAAUGCGUAGAGAUGUGGAGGAACACCAGUGGCGAAGGCGGCUCUCUGGUCUGUAACUGACGCUGAGGCGCGAAAGCGUGGGGAGCAAACAGGAUUAGAUACCCUGGUAGUCCACGCCGUAAACGAUGAGUGCUAAGUGUUAGAGGGGUUAAACCCUUUAGUGCUGUAGCUAACGCGUUAAGCACUCCGCCUGGGGAGUACGGCCGCAAGGCUGAAACUUAAAGGAAUUGGCGGG